GACGAACGCUGGCGGCGUGCUUAACACAUGCAAGUCGAGCGGUAAGGCCCUUUCGGGGGUACACGAGCGGCGAACGGGUGAGUAACACGUGGGUGACCUGCCCUCAGCUCUGGGAUAAGCCCGGGAAACUGGGUCUAAUACCGGAUAUGACUUCAUGACGCAUGUUGUGGAGUGGAAAGCCUUGUGCGGCUGAGGAUGGGCCCGCGGCCUAUCAGCUUGUUGGUGGGGUGANGGCCUACCAAGGCGACGACGGGUAGCCGGCCUGAGAGGGCGACCGGCCACACUGGGACUGAGAUACGGCCCAGACUCCUACGGGAGGCAGCAGUGGGGGAAUAC
rnacentral:rRNA from 1 species